UACGGAGGGUGCAAACGUUGCUCGGAAUCAUUGGGCGUAAAGCGCACGUAGGCGGCCUAGUAUGUCGGGUGUGAAAGCCCUCGGCUUAACCGGGGAAGUGCAUUCGAAACUGCUAGGCUUGAGUACUGAAGAGGAUCGCGGAAUUCCCGGUGUAGAGGUGAAAUUCGUAGAUAUCGGGAGGAACACCAGUGGCGAAGGCGGCGAUCUGGGCAGAUACUGACGCUGAGGUGCGAAAGCGUGGGGAGCAAACAGG
rnacentral:rRNA from 1 species